rnacentral:rRNA from 1 species
GAUGAACGCUGGCGGCGUGCCUAAUACAUGCAAGUCGAGCGAACGGACGAGAAGCUUGCUUCUCUGAUGUUAGCGGCGGACGGGUGAGUAACACGUGGAUAACCUACCUAUAAGACUGGGAUAACUUCGGGAAACCGGAGCUAAUACCGGAUAAUAUUUUGAACCGCAUGGUUCAAAAGUGAAAGACGGUCCUGCUGUCACUUAUAGAUGGAUCCGCGCUGCAUUAGCUAGUUGGUAAGGUAACGGCUUACCAAGGCAACGAUGCAUAGCCGACCUGAGAGGGUGAUCGGCCACACUGGAACUGAGACACGGUCCAGACUCCUACGGGAGGCAGCAGUAGGGAAUCUUCCGCAAUGGGCGAAAGCCUGACGGAGCAACGCCGCGUGAGUGAUGAAGGUCUUCGGAUCGUAAAACUCUGUUAUUAGGGAGGAACAUAUGUGUAAGUAACUGUGCACAUCUUGACGGUACCUAAUCAGAAAGCCACGGCUAACUACGUG